rnacentral:tRNA from 1 species
AGGGGUGUAGUUUAUACAAAACGUUUAAAUUGCAAUUAAAAAAACCAAUUAUUGGCACCCUGG